rnacentral:rRNA from 1 species
UACGUAGGGGGCUAGCGUUGUCCGGAUUUAUUGGGCGUAAAGAGCGCGUAGGCGGCCAUGUAGGUCCGGUGUGAAAACUCGAGGCUUAACCUCGAGAUGUCAUCGGAAACCAUUUGGCUAGAGUCCGGAAGAGGAGAGUGGAAUUCCUGGUGUAGCGGUGAAAUGCGCAGAUAUCAGGAAGAACACCAAUGGCGAAAGCAGCUCUCUGGGACGGUACUGACGCUGAGACGCGAAAGCGUGGGGAGCGAACAGG